rnacentral:rRNA from 1 species
UACGGGGGGGGCAAGCGUUGUUCGGAAUUACUGGGCGUAAAGGGCUCGUAGGCGGCCAACUAAGUCAGACGUGAAAUCCCUCGGCUUAACCGGGGAACUGCAUCUUAUACUGCAUCACUAGAGUACGGUAGAGGGUAGUGGAAUUUCCGGUGUAGCGGUGAAAUGCGUAGAUAUCGGAAGGAACACCAGUGGCGAAGGCGGCUACCUGGACUGAUACUGACACUGAGGCGCGAGAGCGUGGGGAGCAAACAGG